rnacentral:rRNA from 1 species
GAUGAACGCUGGCGGCGUGCCUAACACAUGCAAGUCGAGCGAAGCACUUUGCUUAGAUUCUUCGGAUGAAGAGGAUUGUGACUGAGCGGCGGACGGGUGAGUAACGCGUGGGUAACCUGCCUCAUACAGGGGGAUAACAGUUAGACAUGACUGCUAAUACCGCAUAAGACCACAGCACCGCAUGGUGCGGGGGUAAAAACUCCGGUGGUAUGAGAUGGACCCGCGUCUGAUUAGCUAGUUGGUAAGGUAACGGCUUACCAAGGCGACGAUCAGUAGCCGACCUGAGAGGGUGACCGGCCACAUUGGGACUGAGACACGGCCCAAACUCCUACGGGAGGCAGCAGUGGGGAAUAUUGCACAAUGGGGGAAACCCUGAUGCAGCGACGCCGCGCGAGCGAAGAAGUAUUUCGGUAUGUAAAGCUCUAUCAGCAGGGAAGAAAAUGACGGUACCUGACUAAGAAGCACCGGCUAAAUACGUGCCAGCAGCCGCGGUAAUACGUAUGGUGCAAGCGUUAUCCGGAUUUACUGGGUGUAAAGGGAGCGUAGACGGAUGGGCAAGUCUGAUGUGAAAACCCGGGGCUCAACCCCGGGACUGCAUUGGAAACUGUUCAUCUAGAGUGCUGGAGAGGUAAGUGGAAUUCCUAGUGUAGCGGUGAAAUGCGUAGAUAUUAGGAGGAACACCAGUGGCGAAGGCGGCUUACUGGACAGUAACUGACGUUGAGGCUCGAAAGCGUGGGGAGCAAACAGG